UACGUAGGGGGGCAAGCGUUGUCCGGAUUUAUUGGGCGUAAAGAGCGUGUAGGCGGCCUGAAAGGUCAGCUGUGAAAACUCGAGGCUCAACCUCGAGACGUCGGUUGAAACCAUCUGGCUAGAGUCCGGAAGAGGAGAGUGGAAUUCCCGGUGUAGCGGUGAAAUGCGCAGAUAUCAGGAGGAACACCUGUGGUGUAGACGGCUUUCUGGACCAUAGCU
rnacentral:rRNA from 1 species